rnacentral:ribozyme from 14 species
AAAAAAAAAAAAAAAAAAAAAAAAAAAGCUCGAUGCUCUUCUUUUAAAAGUCUGUUCCAAUUUUCCAUCGCCGGCGGUGUUCUCUUUCGUGGACGCUUGUUCGUUCGUUGGUUCGUUCUUUCUUUCUCUCUUUCUUUCUUUCUUUCUCUGACAGCUGAGAACUUCAAGGACGAGGAAGGUUUGC